UACGAAGGGAGCUAGCGUUGUUCGGAAUUACUGGGCGUAAAGGGCGCGUAGGCGGUCUUAUAAGUUUGGUGUGAAAGCCCUGGGCUUAACCUAGGAAUAGCAUUGGAUACUGUAAGACUUGAGACCGAGAGAGGGAAAUGGAAUUGCGAGUGUAGAGGUGAAAUUCGUAGAUAUUCGCAAGAACACCAGUGGCGAAGGCGAUUUCCUGGCUCGGUACUGACGCUAAGGCGCGAAAGCGUGGGGAGCAAACAGG
rnacentral:rRNA from 1 species